UAUUUUGAUAUUAAUUUCCAACUUUUCAAAAUUGAGAAUUAACUAUUUAUUGUAAAUUACCUCUCUGGGAAUCGCUGAUGUAGCUUAUUAGAAAUGUCUGAAUCAGUCUAGAAUGGUGGCAUACGGGCAUAGUUUUUAAUGUGUAUGGUAAGGAGAUUUCCCUCUCUGAUUAACUUUUCCCCAUGAAAUCCCCCAUGAAAGAGUUAUGGCUCACUCUAACAAUGUAUAUAAUACAUGUACCCGAAAAAUCGAGGUACAACUCGCAGGUUCACUGUCUGAUACCUUUUAUGCUGUUAGUGUAAAUGUAUUGUCUCAAGGGUCUUGCACCUUUUGCGGCCGUUCAGGCGUUGUAAGAAAGCUUAGUCAUUCUGCUCUAAACUGCAGUCGGAGUGUUUUUCUGCUUCAAUGCAAAUGUCAAAUUCCAUUUAACCAUUGUAGACACUACAAAAGCUGCUAAAUAUGCUCUUCAAUCACAAAUGUCUGAUCUGGCUCAAUAUAAUGGAACCGUGUGUUACAAGUGUUCAAAAGAUUCUCCUCAAUACGUGUGAAAUUAAUAAUCAGAUGUAUUAUGGCAGGAAGAAGCAUGAUCACAUGUGUAUGUGUGUCACAUACCAUGAGACUAUGGGAGAUUUAAUCUAAAACAUGCUGAGAUGUCAAAGGUUACAGCUCUAUUGAUACAUUUUCACAUCAUGAAUUUUAGUUACUAAGACAGAACAGUUGGUUUUAAAGUGAUAAAAAUAAUAUAUAGAAUAUGCACAGCAUACUUAUAUAAGUUCAUACACAGUAUCAAACCAUUUUAUGCAGGUGAGUAUGAUCAAGUAGUGUAUAAGCUUACACAUUUAAUCUCCCCAUGUGAUGAUUCCACGUAAGUUUGGUAACUGGUACUUUUCUUUUCAAUCUCAAUCAUAUCAUCUUUAUGUCUCAGCCUGAUUUAAAAUAAGCAAAAAUAAGCGUUGAAUUUAAACCAGCUAAGAAUAAAUGUAUAAAGUCAAUAGGGAGAGGAGCGCUGGGUAUUCAAUGCUAGAGAGGGCGGGGUUUGAGACGUCUUGACGGCGCUGAUUGGUUGAAAACAACUAACUUUUAAAUUUGAUCAAGGCUAUUAAGUACAGGUGUUCAAUCAUCUCUGCCGUUCAAUCAAGUCCGUUACUUUAUCGGCAGCUGUCACGGGGUCUCAAGUCACCGGCAUCCCAAAAAGGUGAGUCCGCACGUUACUGUUGCCUCAGCUUUAUGCAGCAAAGCGUGAGCUCAGGGCUGGUGGUUAAUUGUUAAUUACAAACCUGCACAGGAAACAAGCUUUUUGUGACGGAUACCGUCGCAAAGCAUCUUAAUGAAUAAUGUUAGCAGUGCGUUCUCAUUUUUAGCUCGAGCUAAAAUGGACACCAUCACCAUCAAAUGUUUCUGUCCGAAAGUUGUACUCUAAAUAAAUAAAUUAAUAAUAAUUCCGCAAAAACAGCGAGCGCCCCAAUACAACUUCGGCUUGUCGACAAUGAUGACCGGAUUUCAGCCAUGUCCAUUAAUAAUGGGGCUUCGUUGAGUGUUUUAACUUUAACUUUAUGCCAUCAGUGUGAAAUAACAACGGUCUUAUUUUGAAUGUAAUUCAGCGUAAAAUUCACGUUUAGAUAUCACCCCGGUCUACAGUUACUUUAGUAGAAUUCACGUAGGUGAAUAACGGUCUUAUUUGACCUGCUUCAGUGUAAAACUCACGUGUGUGUUAUUUCCACGGUCUUAUUCCACAGGUGGAAUUCACGUUUGGUCAAUAACAACGGUCUUAUUUUAACUGGGUAGUCAAGCGAUCUGCGUUACGAUCUCGGAUAAUUUGUUCCGAGUGAAAUCUUUACCGUAAGCAAUCCUGUCUUCUUGUAGUCCAGCGAUCUGUGUUACGAUCUCGGAGAAUUUGUUCCGAGUGAAAACCUAAUCGUACACAAUCCUGUCUACAACCGCAUGAAGUGAUGCUUUGGAAAUAUCCCAGAAUCAUGUACAAUACUUUAAAAUAAAAAAAUAAUUCCCCGAACUAUCACAACCACUUGAUCAGUCAUCUGUGUCCGUUAUGUUCAACCUUAAACGUACGUAUAAUUGGAAUUUCAACUUCUUACCCGAGUUUGUAGAAAUUAAUUCUUUUUCGCUGUAUACACGUGACGUCAAUCAGGACUCUUUGGUUUCCGCCGGUCCUUUCUCUCUUGUCUAAGGAGGUAUGAGGCAGGAUCAUCAGUUGGUGAUCCUGGAAAAGGCCUUUUCCCCGGACGGUCCCCUGGAGCCUUGACGGACGGUCAGCGUAUCCUGUUCGUGACGCCAAAUUGUUGUGGAAUAUUUCAAUAAAACUUGUUCUGGAGAAGAGAAUGAAUUCUUUCAAUGUUUAUCUAAUAAAAAACAGUCUUGGUGAAUGAUCAAAGUUUCAAAAAGUCCAUUUAUUGCUUGCAAGCAGGAGGCCAAAUACACCAGCACGUAUCACAGCGCUCUGUGGAGAUGCCGUCUCCGAGCAGUAAAAACGCUGAGUUUUUAUACACAUAGGAAGGCCAUUCUCAGUGGCAGGUAGGAGAAGUUGCAAACCAAGUCGAGAUAAGAACCAAGGUUAAGAUGAGGGUAACACACACUGCUCCUUUGUACGAGCGCCCGUGAGAGCAAGUUAAUUCCCUUUUUCAGACACAGCUGCAUAUGGAAACCUUAAAUCUUUUCUGCUUUUGCACAUCAGGGUCAAACAGACACUUGAGACACAGGUUUAGCACAAGCCAAUGUUAUAACAUUUUUACCAUUACAGAACGCGCUUGUAGAGCGCAUAUGAGCCGCUGCAGCGUAGUGGGGGGGCAGUGGCUUUAUGGCAUGAUAGGCAGGCCGUAACAAUCAGUCAGGGCAACCCUGAUCUCACCCUGGACUGCCCUAGGUCACAGGCCCACCUAAAAGGUCACAUUCUUGAGAGACUCUCACUAUGCACAAAUGCCCCCGACAAUCAUGUGAAUGGAAAUUGUAUUUUUCCCUUUUUUAAAGCUUAAGCUGAGCAUAAUGUCUGCAACAUCAUGCUUUUCAGCCCGAAAAUUUGACUUAUUUCAGUCAUCCAGUCCAUUCCUAUUGUGACUAUACUAUUCACAAUACAUUUAUAUGGUGGAGCGUUGAGCAAAAACUGUCUCAUUGUGUGGGUUUCCACCGGCAUUAUCGCAGCCAUUGGUGUUCGCUGCUAUGCAGACUUUGAUUCGACCAUCCCCAGGUCCGGGGGAGACUACUCCUACACCAAAGACAUCUUUGGAGGACUAGCUGGGUAAGAACCAAUGCUGUUUGUCUGAAGCUGCUGAGUCUGGGAUUUUAAAGGUGCAUCGUCUAGUACUUCUGGAGCUCUUUGGGCAGAAAAUCACAAACCGGCUUUGAUAAAUGUUUGCUGUACCUUUUCUUUUUUUUCUUACAGGUUUUUGCUCAAAUGAUUUGUAAACGCUGUGCAAGGUUUGUUGUAGCCGGCCUCUUUGUAGUUGAUGAGAACUUGCAGGAAGUCUGUUGCUCCAUCACAUCAACAACCUGCUGCUGGUGCUGUCAUUCAGGUUUCUGCGUCUGUGGGUCGUGGUGUUGGUUAUCUCCCCCACUAACUAGGCGGUGACUGCGCUCACCUUCUCAAGCUACAUCCUGCAGCCGCUCUUCCACCCUUUGCCUUCCCCCGGAAAGUGCCCUGCGCCUGCUGGCUGCUGCCUGCCUGUACACCGCCGCCGACUGCGGAGGUGUUCCGUGUCCCCGGGCCGCCCACUACUGCGGAGGUGUUCCGUGUCCCCGAGCCGGGCCGACCCCCGGUCCGGGCCAGUACCGGUCCGGGCGACUGCGGAGGGGUUCCUUCCCCCCGAGCCGCCGCCGACUGCGGAGGGGUUCCGUGCCCCCGAGCCCCCGCAGCCGACUGCGGAGGUGUUCCGUGUCCCCGAGCUGCCGCCGCCGACUGCGGAGGUGUUCAGUGUCCCCGGGCCGCCGACUACUGCGCAGUCUUUUAGUGAGUCUUCGCCAUGUGCAGGAAUGCUAACUCCCACUCCCCUCUAACCACGUUCAGUUGAUCUCCACCCUGCUGAUGUUGUGCACCAGUGACGUUUACACCCUCAAACUUUGUGGGUUUCAUCAACUUCCUCUUCUAUGGCAUCACUAUCGCCAGGCAGAUUCUGCUGUGCAUCAGAGAGCCUGACAUGCAUCGACCAUCAAGGUGAACCUGAUUUGGCCGACGAUCUACAUGCUGUUCUGGACCUUCCUCUUGGUCUUCUCCGCGUACUCCGAGCCUGUCGUCUCCUGUACUGGUGUGGCUGUCAUGUUGACUGGUGUCCCUGUAUAUUUCCUGGGAGUACUCGGAAAACAAGCCCAAGUGUUGUGAUAUUACCAUUGGUAAAAUUACUCAUUUGUCCCAAAAGCUGUGUUCGGUGGUCCAGCCGGAGGAGAGAUGGGAGCCCUGCGAGCCACAAAACAAAGACUGAGACCACAACAAUGAUAAUGAAGAAGACCGAUUGAAACAUGCAUAAUCAAACACUCACUAUGAUGCUCACUUUGGGCUUAAAGAAAAAAAAGUGGUACCUGGGGAAGUGAGAGAAAUGAAUAUACAUCUUCGUGUUAGUGUCAAAAUAUUUUAACAUGUAAGUUGUAUGUAUUGUUAAAGCUUGUUUAUACGCUUAAAAAAAUUAAAAUGAAAAUUACCUGAUUUUUUUUUUCUUUGGAUUUG